GGGCCGAGUUUUGUGUAUUUUUGAAUCUUUUUGUAUUUUGUAUAACUAUUGUAAGUUAUAUUAAUACUUUGUGUUAAUUUAAGGAUUACAAGUUAUACUAAUACGUUGUAUUAAUAUAAAUUGCAAGUGAUAUAUUUAUUACAAAAUUCAAAAUUAAAGUUUGCAUUCAAAAAGUAAAUUAACAAAAAAAUAGUAAAACAAAAUUUUCAUGCAUAAUAAAUUAAUAAUACUUCAAAUAUUGAUCUAAAAGCUAAAACAUUAAGCAUAAAUACGUCUAAUAAUUCUAAAAUAACACAAAUUGUCUUAAAAUCAUAAAUACGAAUUUCUGGAGGACUCUCAAGACAAUACUUUAUAUGCCUCUUUAAACUGCUCGUGCCAGACUCUGAACAAAUAUUUAAGACUUGACUACAGUUCUUACACUUUACUUUUUGACCUUCUUCAUUUUUCUCUACCACCUCAAUGUGUUGCCAAACAUAUGAACGCACUCUAUAUGAGGCAUGAUUUAACUUAAACCGUAACUUAAACACGACGAUCUGUCCGGCCUAGCGAACUUUCAAUGCCAAAGUUAGCUAGUNNNN
rnacentral:lncRNA from 1 species